GGGGCUGUAGUUCAGAGGGAGAACGUUUGUCUGGCAGACAAAAGGUCGGGGGUUCGAGUCCCCCCAGCUCCA
rfam:Dehalococcoidia bacterium SM23_28_2 WORSMTZ_12132, whole genome shotgun sequence.